GGUGAGAUGAAUCAGUGAAACUGCUAGCUGCAAGUCUGCAUUUUGGUACUGGUUUUACUAAAACUUGUGCAUCUUGGUAUUGUUGUAACUCAAACCGUGAUCAGUUUUGUAUUGUAUAAAAUUGCUAUAUGUUUUACAGUAGAAGUGAAACAAAACAGGCUGGAAAUCACCUGCCGCCCUAGCAGGCCAGGAGCGCGCCCAUCCCAGCCGAACGACCAGGAGCGCGCCGAAUGUUCUGCGCUCCGACCGGGAAGCUAGCGAUCGUUUGGGAAGCCGGAUCCAAGGAUUUUCGGGAAGCUGGUCGAUUCCCGAACACGCCCUUAGGCUCAAAGGUCUCGCUUGGUCAACCGAGGGGAGCCCUAUCACAAUCCUCACCGCCCCCAUCCCACUCGCCACCACACCCCUCUCCUCGCAGCUCCGACCAGCGCUGCCGAGUGGCACGCGGAUGGAAGCAGCGGCGACGAACGCACACAUCCGGCUAUUAAUCCCACCAGCCUCGCAAUAGAUUACACCCAUCCGGCCAGAUCGACGACCGCGGUGCCUAGGUCGACGGCCGGUAACAUCUUCAUCGACCGGUCCUUUGGGGCCUUAUUCUCCUCCGCGUGAGUGCUGCUGGCGCGCAUGACAGCCAUGGUGCCGAAGGAUGCGAUCUCGCCCACCUGGCCGGGGAGAUGCUGGGUCAACGGGUGACUAUGUGCGUGCAUGGCUCCUUAUGACCGCAGCGCCCUGAUGUGUCCGCAAAACUGCAGAAGUGCCUAUGGCAUCAGAUCCCUUCAGGCUCCAUCUUCCUAUUAGAGCAGAGAACACGUACCAACAACACCGCUUGCUUUCUUGUAGCAAGCUAUUUGUGAAUGCAUCCUUUACUCUUUAUCAUGCAUCGUGCUAUUUCCACUUUGAUUUUAUGUUUUCUUCGUCUUAGAAAAGAUUUGGAGGUCAAAAGCAUAAUGCUGACAUGACCAGUGGAAUAAUAGAAGUUGCAGAUAUUACAGACAUUAUUGUAUGGCUCAGAAUAUCUUUGCGAAUAUUGUUAAUUGUUGGUUUGUCUGGUAUUUUCUGGAUGAAAAUAUGAAAAAUGCAGAAUUAAUCUUACAAGUGGUUUAGCUUCUUGGCUCAUAGACCAGGACACUUGAUUCUCAUCAUUUUCUACAAUGGAGCAAUUUGUCAUCGAUCUCAACUGCUGUUAUUACUACUAUUACGUUCAACAAGUCCCUUAUCUCCAUUAUUGUGAAUGGGAAUGUCUCAGCGUGGCCAUCUGAAGGCUGUAACAAAUUGAAGUUUAAGUAAGUUUCUAACAUGAUGUAAGGUCGUUGUGUUCUAUUAGUUUGUUUCUAAAUUUAGAUUAGAUGUUCCGUGUGUGCUCUGAAUAUGCAUUCUUUAUCUGCUUCCAACUAGAGAAACACUUUCAUGUACUGGUCAUCUAAAACACUACAGGUACCCUAGCUGAUAUAGUAGUGCAAUUGGUAUUGCUGGUGGAGUCAUCGCUGCUGGCUGAUUUGUUCCUUGCUAUUUAUCCAUGUCCUUCUUCUUUGAGAUACAAAUGGUCCAUAUUAUUGACUUAUUGUGGCAGCAAGGUCAAGCUCUAUGGAGGUGUGCAGAGUGAGGAUCAUCUUAAGAAUUCAUGUUGGGUGUUUUUCUCUAGGUUAUUUCUUUGUAUAUAUAGUGUUGACGCUUGUUUUGAAUAUACCCAUGAAUCAGAUAAAAGAGACUUUAAAUGUAUGAGAAAUAUUGGAAAGAGAAUGAUCUAUUCCAGUGUGAAGUUAACUCAGAUAAAUCUGCUCAUUGUUUCGCAAUGUACGUGUAGGUGAUCCCCACAUCCGUUUUUGGUACAUAUAUUAGUUACUUGUUGAUUUGCUCUAGAAGUGAGUGAAUGGUUGAGAUAAGUUAAUAAUUUUAGUACAGGGUUGUAUCUUUUUGUGGAAUUCCAUUUGCUACCUAAAGAUGGUGAAUGUGCAUGUGUAGGCGUAUGUUUUGAUGUAUUUCUCGAAGUGUUGUACCAGCCGACGUCUUGGAGCAUCCAUCGCCUCGAAGGUCCACCGUCGGCAUGUCCUCAAGCUCUUAGAUUUGUGAAUUCUUAGUCCUAUGAGGCCCUCUAAGUGAGCAAGCUCCAGCAGUUAAGCCCAGAUUAAACUCUAGCAUUGUUGAUUGGUUCAUGGUGCCUUGUGAUGCAGAUGACAGUACUCGUUUGGCUGCUGAUGUUGUAUCAACCACUAUCGAAAUCACCAUCAGAAGGCAAAAUGAUUGGCCAGGACAAGUGUCGACACCAACAUCCUCUGUCCAGCAAAGCUAACACAAGAUGAAGAUGAUGCUUCUUUCUAGCAACAUUUCUAUGCAUAUUACCCAUGCUAAAAGAGUACACUUUCUAACCUUCAUAUGCCAAACAUGAGGAGGAAUGCCAAGGACGGGAUUUUUUUUCGCAUUCAGCCAGAGAUAUAGCUCCUAACUUUCCUUGUAAUCAAAUAAGCUUUUUCCUAAUACAAUGACCCUACUUACGCUACAAUAGCUUGAAUGUAUAUGAUUUAUUACAGUAUUAGGGUAACCAAUUUUCCAGGUACGUAGAUAAAACCAUAAUCUAUGAACAAAUUGAUUCAUGCCACAUUUCUGUGCUCUUUUCUUCCUUUAUAUGUCAGCUUCAGUUAAGUUUGCCAGUAUUAAUUUAUACAAAUGAGCUCUUGUGUCCCAUAUUAAUUUAACCAGUUAUGAUCGAGAAAUAAAUAUACAUUGGUUACAUCCGGUGUAUUUGCCAGUAGCAUACUAGGAGCAAACUAUUGAGCUACAUUUUAGUAAAAUUCAAAUGAGUAUACUCUACCGGUUCUCCUUGGUGGUUGGAUAGUGCCAGUGUUACUUGUUAGAUAUAUCAAGGAUUUAGUGCAGGUUGAUACUUAUAUUUGUGGUUUGAUAUGCAAUGAAUCAUGAUCAAUUAAGUGAAAGUACUUAUACCUCUACUAAGUGUCUGGUUUGGAUGCGUUUGGAUAUAUUCUCCCAUUUAUUUCAAAAAUCCACAUUCAGAAUUUGAGAGACUCACUUGCUCAGGCAAAGUUGGACACGGUUGUUAAGGUUAGGUCUUGCUUGCACUUGGCACCAUUUAUAUUCAGCACUGGUCUUGAAGGUCAAAAUAUUUGAAUUUCUAUGUAAGGGCAUGUACAACGCCGCCACUUACAUGGGGUGCUAGGAUGAACUUCCCAUCCAUUAUGCGUGAUUCCCAGUCAUAUAUACUCGGGAUUUUGCUUAGCAUCGGCUCUUUCCUUUGUGGCGGCGCUAGCCAAGAAAAUGACCCCACUACAUGAAUUUAGGAGGGCGUUAGCCUAUGGUUGGUAUUUACUUUUAAUUCAGUAGUGACUGGAAUUAGCGCCCAGCAUAGAGCCUAGAACGCUUAGCUGAUAAUCAGAAUUUAUGGAAAUUAUUUUUAUGAACUUAAACGCCUGCAUAAGCAGCUAGCCUUGUACAUGCCCUGAAACCUCUGAAUCUUAAGUCUACUUCUUAGUAAUGUUGCCUAACGAGCCUUUUUAUCCUUUAUUCUCGAGAGAUGCAUUUUUUUCCUUUUCAAUUAUUCCGUUAGCAGAACAGUAGCACCAUCUGACACUAACAUCCUGCCUUUUGGUUUCAGACUUGUUAUUCUAAGAAGCACGUGUAUCAUCUUUCACUAAAGAAAUUGGGACCUUGGAGAUAUAUCACUUUACAUAGCCUUUGAAGUACAUUCAGUUACCGAAUAAUCAUCGGAGCAUUACACUCUUUAAUCAACGAUAGUGUCCCCUCUUGAAACAAAAAUCUGUGUGUGUGGGUGCACACCAUUAGUUCUCUCAGGUCCAUAUGAUGUCUGCGAAGAGAUUUGUUUUACCUUGACAUGAAACAUUUAUGUUGAAUCAAUAUUUGAUGUAUGAAUGGAAAGUUGGAAACCAUGUGAACGGAAA